GUUGCUUGACUAAAGAGAAGCGACAGAGAUAACCUGGUAUUCACUUUGACACUUUCUGACAGGAAACAUUAGUGUAACAGAUUAGUCCACCUAUUCUACUCCAUUAAACUUUGAGGGAAUCAUCAGUUCAUCACUAAGUGCUGUUUUUAACAACAAAGGGAUCUCGUCACCAUGGCAAUGUUUACAAUUUCCCUGCUUCUCUGUGCUGCGUUUGCUCUGAGCGGUGCAACAGAGGUUACAACUGUCACGGAAAACCACAUGGAACAAAGCUCACCUGCUGGUAAAUGCUUGAUGAUGUUACGCCGUCUUCAAUGAAUGAGCAACUUGUAAUAGCUUUUGAAAGUGUGGAACUACAACACUGAUCGUUGAAACCUGGUGCAAGAAGAAAUCCGAUUUCCUUCCUCUACAUAAGCCAGUUGAUCAACACAGUGCUUUCAGUUUUGUGACAAACGCUGGAAUGAUAUUCAAUGUGGAUCUAUAUUUCCAUCUGUGUGCUCCAAAAGGUUGUGUUAAAUCUGCCAUCAUAACAUCAACUGAACCACUUUUUUUGUCAUUACAACUGUACAGUAUUAUUGAAGAAUGUAAAUAUAUGGUAGGCCUAUAGUUUUUGUGAAUCAUAGUCGAGCAUGAGAUUUAACACAAGGGGGAUUUUCUAUAAUGUAAAUAGGCUGUCGUCAAAUUUUUCAAUGAUGCUAAUCAUGUAAAAUGUCAUAGUGAAGUUUUGCUACUAAUAAAUAAUUUCCUAAUA